CCUACGGGUGGCAGCAGUGAGGAAUAUUGGUCAAUGGGCGGGAGCCUGAACCAGCCAAGUCGCGUGAGGGAAGACGGUCCUAUGGACUGUAAACCUCUUUAGGCGGGGAGCAAUGCCGGGCACGCGUGCCCGGAGGGAGAGUACCCGCAGAAUAAGCAUGGGCUAACUCCGUGCCAGCAGCCGCGGUAAUACGGGGGAUGCGAGCGUUAUCCGGAUUGAUUGGGUUUAAAGGGUGCGUAGGCGGAUUUUUAAGUCAGCGGUAAAAUGUCCGGGCUCAACCCGGGCCGGCCGUUGAAACUGGGGAUCUUGAGUGGGCGAGAAGUAUGCGGAAUGCGUGGUGUAGCGGUGAAAUGCAUAGAUAUCACGCAGAACUCCGAUUGCGAAGGCAGCAUACCGGCGCCCGACUGACGCUGAGGCACGAAAGCGUGGGGAUCGAACAGGAUUAGAUACCCGAGUAGUC
rnacentral:rRNA from 1 species